rnacentral:rRNA from 1 species
AGCGAACGCUGGCGGCGUGCCCAACACAUGCAAGUCGAACGUGAACGGCUUCGGCCAAGUAAAGUGGCGUACGGGUGAGUAACACGUAGGUAAUCUACCUUAGAGUCUGGAAUAACCUGCCGAAAGGCGGGCUAAUACUGGAUAGAGCGAGGAAUCCGUAAUUGGGUUUUUCGGGAAAGGGAGGCAGUAAUGUCCCUUGCUCUAAGAUGGGCCUGCGUCCCAUCAGUUAGUUGGCGGGGUAAUGGCCCACCAAGACGAUGACGGGUAGCUGGUCUGAGAGGAUGAUCAGCCACACUGGAACUGAAACACGGUCCAGACUCCUACGGGAGGCAGCAGUGGGGAAUCUUGCGCAAUGGACGAAAGUCUGACGCAGCCACGCCGCGUGAGUGAAGAAGGCCUUCGGGUUGUAAAGCUCUGUCGCCCGGGACGAAAAUUAUUAGAGUUAACAGCUCUAGUAACUGACGGUACCGGGAAAGGAAGCACCGGCUAACUCUGUGCCAGCCGCCGCAGUAA